UAAAGGAGUUAUACCGCGAGUGCUCCACCUGAUCCCAUUCCGAACUCAGAAGUGAAAUCUCGUAAGGCCGAUGAUAGCGGUUUAUCCGCAAAAGUAGGUAACUCCUCUAC
rfam:Candidatus Yanofskybacteria bacterium RIFCSPHIGHO2_02_FTLL_43_15c rifcsphigho2_02_scaffold_6549, whole genome shotgun sequence.